UCAGACGGCGUACGCAGGCACGUGUUUCGAUGAUAAAAGAGUUUUUAAGAGUAGGCUUUUUGACGAAAUUUUUCUUUCUGAAAACUUCCUUGUUGUGUUGUGUUGUAUUAACAUAGUAACAGUGAUGUCCCAGGGCAGGUGAGUACAAGAAAUCAAAAUAAAAUGGUAUUUCUAUUUCUAAUAAACGUCGGAGUAGGCGUCAGGAAUAUCAUCACGUGAAACAGAGUUCUCGAAAUAUUAGGUCCAAGUAGUACAUCAUCACCAUCAUUAGAACCGAGUACUUCAACGAUCUUUUGAGAUUGCAUGUAGAUAAAAAAAAUGCAGAGAUAGAAAUGGAUAAGAACACCAUCAAAAUAAAAAGGUACGAAGAAUUGAAGAAAUUCGAUGCUGAUAUACUUAUAUAUGAUCUAGAAUAUUUGAAAAAAUGUUUGUCCAAAUUUGGCCUCAACGGGGGUAAGGACGUAGCAGAGACAACACGCAAAAUAAUCUAACUCAUAAUAAGCCAUGAAUCAGGAAUUUCCCGGAAUUGGUCGGGUAGAAAUUAAUAAUAAAAAUGGAUUAGAAGCAAUGGCGAAUAUUGUUGAGCUUAAUCAUGGAUCUGUAAGGAUAAAUCCUAUUACAAGAAGUGUGCCACUGAUGUGGAAAUGAAUCAUGUAAUGAAUUGGCUUCGCAAUGCCGGUGACAGAGCAGGGGGCAGAUUGAAAAGAGAGGAUGAAAAAGAAACAGGCAAUAAUGAGCAGUGAAUAAAUAUAUGCUUUUUUUUCAAGUAAGCUAGUCGUUUUGAUGUGUUUUUUCAA